rnacentral:rRNA from 1 species
UAGAGUUUGAUCCUGGCUCAGAGCGAACAUUGGCGGCGCGUUUAACACAUGCAAGUCGAGCGAGAAAACUUCUUCGGAAGUGAGUAGAGCGGCGAACGGGUGAGUAACACGUGAGUGACCUGCCCCCAAGCUUGGGAUAGCCACGGGAAACUGUGGGUAAUACCGGAUGUGACUUUAUUAUUAGAAGAUGAAGUUGAAAGCGUGGGACCCUUCGGGGCCACGUACUUGGGGAUGGGCUCGCGUCCCAUUAGCUAGUUGGAGAGGUAACGGCUCACCAAGGCGACGAUGGGUAGGGGGUGUGAGAGCAUGACCCCCCACACUGGGAUUGAGAUACGGCCCAGACUCCUACGGGAGGCAGCAGUGGAGAAUCUUGCACAAUGGGGGCAACCCUGAUGCAGCGACGCCGCGUGGACGAAGAAGGCCCUCUGGGUUGUAAAGUCCUUUUCUGACGGAAGAAGUCAAUAUGUUCUAACAGGGCAUAUUGUUGACGGUACGUUAGGAAGAAGUCACGGCUAACUCCGUGCCAGCAGCCGCGGUAAUACGGAGGUGGCGAAUGUUGCUCGGAAUUACUGGGCGUAAAGGGCGCGCAGGCGGAUGAUCAAGUCAAGAGUGAAAUCUCCAUGCUUAACGUGGAGCUUGCUUUUGAAACUGGUCGUCUGGAGUCAUGUAGGGGAUGACGGAACACCUGGAGUAGCGGUGAAAUGCGUAGAUAUCAGGUGGAACACCGAUGGCGAAGGCUGUCAUCUGGACAAGGACUGACGCUGAGGCGCGAAAGCCGGGGGAGCAAACAGGAUUAGAUACCCUGGUAGUCCCGGCCCUAAACGAUGAGUGCUAGGUGUAUGCGCGCGAGCGUAUGUGCCGCAGUUAACGCAUUAAGCACUCCGCCUGGGGAGUACGGUCGCAAGGCUGAAACUCAAAGGAAUUGACGGGGGCCCGCACAAGCGGUGGAGCAUGUGGUUUAAUUCGAAGCAACGCGAAGAACCUUACCAGGGCUUGACAUCCAUGGAAUCCUGUAGAGAUACGGGAGUGCCCUUCGGGGAACCGUGAGACAGGUGGUGCAUGGCUGUCGUCAGCUCGUGUUGUGAGAUGUUGGGUUAAGUCCCGCAACGAGCGCAACCCUUAUCUUCAGUUACCAUCAGGUUAUGCUGGGGACUCUGGAGAGACUGCCUGCGUAAGCAGGAGGAAGGUGGGGAUGACGUCAAGUCAUCAUGCCCCUUACGUCCUGGGCGACACACGUGCUACAAUGGGUAGGACAAAGGGCAGCGAAGGAGCGAUCCUAAGCGAAUCCCAUAAACCUAUUCUCAGUUCGGAUCGCAGUCUGCAACUCGACUGCGUGAAGCUGGAAUCGCUAGUAAUCGCGGAUCAGCCAUGCCGCGGUGAAUACGUUCCCGGGCCUUGUACACACCGCCCGUCACACCACCCGAGUUAGUAUUACCCGAAGCCGUUAGUCUAACCAGCAAUGGGGGGCGACGUCGAAGGUACGUUUCAUGAGGAGGGUGAAGUCGUAACAAGGUAGGCA